rfam:Stachybotrys chlorohalonata IBT 40285 unplaced genomic scaffold scaffold1832, whole genome shotgun sequence.
GGGAUUUUAGUAUAAUGGUGAAUGCAUAGGACUUUUAAUCCUCAAAAUAUAGGUUCGAAUCCUGUAAGUCUCA